rnacentral:rRNA from 1 species
CCUACGGGCGGCUGCAGUGGGGAAUAUUGGACAAUGGGGGCAACCCUGAUCCAGCCAUGCCGCGUGUGUGAAGAAGGCCUUCGGGUUGUAAAGCACUUUAAGCGGGGAGGAAGGCCUUGAGACUAAUACUCUUGAGGAUUGACGUUACCCGCAGAAUAAGCACCGGCUAACUCUGUGCCAGCAGCCGCGGUAAUACAGAGGGUGCAAGCGGUAAUCGGAAUUACUGGGCGUGAAGCGUUCGGUCGCGGUUGAAAUCCCCGGGCUCAACCUGGGCACGGCAGCCGAUACUGGCUGACUAGAGUGUGGGAGAGGAAGGUAGAAUUCCAGGUGUAGCGGUGAAAUGCGUAGAGAUCAGGAGGAAUACCGAUGGCGAAGGCAGCCUUCUGGCCUAACACUGACGCUGAGGUGCGAAAGCAUGGGGAGCAAACAGGAUUAGAUACCCUGGUAGUC